rnacentral:tRNA from 1 species
ACUUAAAUAGCCUAUAUAGGGCAUGAUACUGAAGAUAUCAGGGAAACUUAAAGUUUUUAAGUA